AACAACCCAGACCGCCAGCUAAGGUCCCAAAGUCAUGGUUAAGUGGGAAACGAUGUGGGAAGGCCCAGACAGCCAGGAUGUUGGCUUAGAAGCAGCCAUCAUUUAAAGAAAGCGUAAUAGCUCACUGGUCGAGUCGGCCUGCGCGGAAGAUGUAACGGGGCUAAACCAUGCACCGAAGCUGCGGCAGCGACGCUGAUGCGUUGUUGGGUAGGGGAGCGUUCUGUAAGCCUGUGAAGGUGGCCUGUGAGGGUUGCUGGAGGUAUCAGAAGUGCGAAUGCUGACAUAAGUAACGAUAAAGCGGGUGAAAAGCCCGCUCGCCGGAAGACCAAGGGUUCCUGUCCAACGUUAAUCGGGGCAGGGUGAGUCGACCCCUAAGGCGAGGCCGAAAGGCGUAGUCGAUGGGAAACGGGUUAAUAUUCCCGUACUUGGUGUUACUGCGAAGGGGGGACGGAGAAGGCUAUGUUGGCCGGGCGACGGUUGUCCCGGUUUAAGCGUGUAGGUGUGUGUUCCAGGUAAAUCCGGUUCACUUUAACACUGAGGCGUGAUGACGAGGCACUACGGUGCUGAAGCAACAAAUGCCCUGCUUCCAGGAAAAGCCUCUAAGCAUCAGGUAACAUCAAAUCGUACCCCAAACCGACACAGGUGGUCAGGUAGAGAAUACCAAGGCGCUUGAGAGAACUCGGGUGAAGGAACUAGGCAAAAUGGUGCCGUAACUUCGGGAGAAGGCACGCUGACAC
rnacentral:rRNA from 1 species